AGAAUGUUAGAUGCAGUUAGUGGUGGUGUCAUGAUGAACAAAACACUUCAGGAAGCUAGAGAUUUGAUAGUAAUCAUGGCUACUACCUCACAACAAUUCGGUGCAGCAUGAGACACCCUAAUUAGGGUGAAUGAGGUAAGUGUGUUACCAUAAAAGCAUUUAUGUGAGGGAAACAUGGCUGUGUUGUGUUUAUAACAAGGAAAUCAAUAGAAUCCCAAGAAAAAUACAGUCAUGUGCAUGCCCAACACAGCCAUGUGUCAUUUUCCAUAUAAGCCUUGCCCAAGGCUUUUAUCACCUAGCAGCACAUUUGGUGGGUCUCAAAACUUUAUGUUUU
rnacentral:lncRNA from 1 species